rnacentral:rRNA from 1 species
GUAGGUGGCAAGCGUUACCCGGAAUUAUUGGGCGUAAAGCGCGCGUAGGCGGUUUCUUAAGUCUGAUGUGAAAGCCCACGGCUCAACCGUGGAGGGUCAUUGGAAACUGGGAAACUUGAGUGCAGAAGAGGAAAGUGGAAUUCCAUGUGUAGCGGUGAAAUGCGCAGAGAUAUGGAGGAACACCAGUGGCGAAGGCGACUUUCUGGUCUGUAACUGACGCUGAUGUGCGA